AAAUAACGAGCCAUUUUUUUUCCCUAUAGCUCAGCUUAAAUGCAUCUGUUCUUGGACUGUGGAAUAUGUGACUUUGGUGGCAGUGGAAGAAUUGCUGGUUUGUCACAGCUGCAGCCUGGUAGUCGGCUCUUUGUGUGGUCCUGUGAGAGAAGCUUUGCUAUGUGCCUAAGCUGUGCUGUGAUGGGAUUUUAACAGCAAUCCACCAAGGCUUUGAUCCUGGGAAUCAUUGUAUCAUAUGGAGGAGGCAGAGCAAGGUGGUUGCACUCCAGGCUGCAUGUGUUUCAAGGAUCACAGGAUCUUCUCCUUCCCAGAGGCUAGUGAAGAUUAGAAGGUGAAAAAAAACGCACUCGCGAUGAAAUGUUCUCUGAGCUCAUGUUGUCCUCCCACACUGACAGAGCACAGACGAAUGCGUGGAGGCAGACAAUGUCAGAGUGCAGAAAAGCACAAAAUGACCGGGAGGAGAGGUGGCGGGCUGAAGAGAGUAAGUGACGGGCUGAAGAGAGGGCUGAAGCUGAAAGGUGGCGGCAGCAUGAUGAGAGGAGGCAGGAUUCAAUGCUGAGGCUGCUGGAGGAUCAAACUAAUGUGCUCCAGCAUAUGGUUGAGCUGCAGGAAAGGCAGCUGGAGCACAGACCGCCGCGACAGCCCCUCUGUAACAAACUGCCCUCCUCCCCAAGUUCCAUAGCUUCCUCACCCAGACGCUCAAGAACGCGGUGGGGGGGCCUCCGGCCACCCAGCCACUCCACCCCAGAGGAUUGCCCAAGCAACA